rnacentral:tmRNA from 1 species
GGGGGUGAAAGGACUCGACAUGUUCUUGUGACGAGAGAGCAGCAUGCAGAGGUUGUCAGGAGGCCUCUUUAAACACCUGGCAAACAAUAAACGCAAACUACGAUCCAGUAGCCGAAGCCGAGAACAUCCUGGCUUUGGAUGCGUUGAAUGUCUCUGCUUUAGCAGGGGCGAGUCCUUUAGUAAGUGCCUUGGGAUACUAAUAGGGCUAAAAUUACGCAAGGUCUCUUGAGGUAAUAUCUCCUAACCUCAAGCAGUAUCAGGAGGAUGCUCCCGGGAAACAUCCUGUUUAUCGGAUCUCCCGGGAAAAGAUUAAAGAUGGACUAAGCAUGUAGAUACUCUCUGGUUCGGGUUCAUGGACCCGGGUUCGAAUCCCGGCACCUCCACCA